CCUACGGGAGGCAGCAGUGAGGAAUAUUGGUCAAUGGACGAGAGUCUGAACCAGCCAAGUAGCGUGAAGGAUGACUGCCCUAUGGGUUGUAAACUUCUUUUAUAUGGGAAUAAAAUGUUCCACGUGUGGGAUUUUGUAUGUACCAUAUGAAUAAGGAUCGGCUAACUCCGUGCCAGCAGCCGCGGUAAUACGGAGGAUCCGAGCGUUAUCCGGAUUUAUUGGGUUUAAAGGGAGCGUAGGUGGAUUGUUAAGUCAGUUGUGAAAGUUUGCGGCUCAACCGUAAAAUUGCAGUUGAAACUGGCAGUCUUGAGUACAGUAGAGGUGGGCGGAAUUCAUGGUGUAGCGGUGAAAUGCUUAGAUAUCACGAAGAACUCCGAUUGCGAAGGCAGUUCACUGGACUGCAACUGACACUGAGGCUCGAAAGUGUGGGUAUCAAACAGGAUUAGAUACCCGUGUAGUC
rnacentral:rRNA from 1 species